CACGGGGGGAGCAAGCGUUGUUCGGAAUCACUGGGCGUAAAGGGUGCGUAGGCGGGUCUUUAAGUCAGGGGUGAAAUCCUGGAGCUCAACUCCAGAACUGCCUUUGAUACUGAGGAUCUUGAGUUCGGGAGAGGUGAGUGGAACUGCGAGUGUAGAGGUGAAAUUCGUAGAUAUUCGCAAGAACACCAGUGGCGAAGGCGGCUCACUGGCCCGAUACUGACGCUGAGGCACGAAAGCGUGGGGAGCAAACAGG
rnacentral:rRNA from 1 species